GGUCAGCUUCGCAAGGCCUGACCAUGCACAGGCGGCUCUGCUUCUCUAGCCUGCAGGAGGCGUUGUCAUUGGUAACCCGGGUGGAGAUGCCCAUCCCACAGGUCUUGGAACAGGCGCUCCACUCUGUGGUCUGGACCAGGCAGUUGGCUCUAAUCAUAGUUGGGUCUGGGCCAAACGUGUCUUCCAGUCGGUAAGCUGCGAGAGCAGAGCACACAAACACAUUCCUCCCCACCUUCCUGCCUCAUCAACUCACACCGGAUUGAUCCUGACCCCUUGACACUCAGCAUUCCUCCGUCUGAAAAAGCUGGCACACUAUUGUUAUUUAAUGUCCUUUCCAAGCAUUCCUCAAAAAGAAGAGGCCUAAGAGUUCCUAUUUAAAGAAUAUAAAUGACUCAGCAAAUGUUUGUGUGUGCCUGGGCGGUAAA
rnacentral:lncRNA from 1 species